GAAAAUCUGAUUUAUUAACAUACCCAAAGGAAGGUAUUUUAUUUUAUCCUGAUAUUUUAUUCUGCAAAAUACUAUUUUAUUCUUUCAAAUAGAUUCUGACAACUUGGCACUCCUGAGGGAAAAGACAGCUCGUACGGGUAACAAGCGUGAAAAACUGACGGGAAGAGCUGAAAAAAAGAUGAACAAAAUUAAGAAGCUUAAAAAUUUUUCUGGAGGAUCAAAAACUUUGAAGCAAAGAACACAUUUCACAGCAAUGUCUUGUCAAAUGCUGCAGUUUCCAACAAAGGCUCUCUGAAAAGGGGGGCUUAUUAAAGAUCUGUUUUUAAAGAGAUGUAAUGCAGUUGCAUUUGAGAUCCUUUUAAGCAGAAUUCAAGACUGUACCAAAAUUCGGUUGAUCAUUUGCCAAUCAACUUGUCAAUUUGCUUUGGUAACUUUUUGAGUACGCCCACUUGCUACAUUUGACGCUCUGGAGCCCAGGGUACUUUUUGAGCAAAGAGUCUUAGACUGGUUGUUAAAGACUUUGUGUCAGUCAAGAAAGCUGCCAAAUAAAUAAAAACUUAAGAAGAAAGUUUUCGAAAAGCAGACUUGAAAUUGGAAUAAGGUCAAAAAUCUCUAUUUGCUGACAUAUCUAUAAUAAACCAUCAGUGAAAAUAUGAAUGCAUAAAGGAAAACUUCUAGAUUUUCGUCUCAGCGCUUUGAAAAAAUUGAUUUUAUCCAAUCCGACUUACCGAGUAUACAUACAAUCAAUGGCAAUUCACUAUCUAGAGUAGCCAAUGGUCCACUUAGAAAAGAACUUUCGCGAGUUUAACACACAUUUGAAUCAACUAUAGGCUCUGGCAUGGCUUCUUUUGUCCACAUAUCCUCCUAGAAUGUGCUCCGUCUUCUACAACCCCCCCUUCCAAUAUUGCAUCCCUGACCAUAGCAUCGCAAAAGUAGUGGAAAUUGACAGCAAGCGAGAAACAAGGAUAAGUACUGAAUUCCUGGGAUAUCACAUAAAUACUACGAUCAGUCACCGACCUAAAUUAUUUAUUACAAUUUGGUUAAAAUCUAUUUCACAAGUAGACAGCUAUCUAAAAGAUUUGGUUUCAAUUACGAAACUAAUUACACGAAAACGCAUACCCGUUUACACCCACUGAUAAAGAAACAUAUUCUUUCAUUGCAAAAUUAACGAAGCCAAGUUUUACGAUG